rnacentral:rRNA from 1 species
CGUAGGGGGCAAGCGUUGUCCGGAUUUACUGGGCGUAAAGAGCGCGUAGGCGGAGAUCUAAGCGUGGCCUGAAAGCCCCCGGCUCAACCGGGGAGUGCGGCUGCGAACUGGGUUCUUGAGGACGAUAGAGGAGAGUGGAAUUCCUGGUGUAGCGGUGAAAUGCGUAGAUAUCAGGAGGAACACCCGAGGCGAAGGCGGCUCUCUGGGUCGUACCUGACGCUGAGGCGCGAAAGCGUGGGGAGCGAACGGGAUUAGAUACCCCGGUAGUCCACGCCGUAAACGAUGGUCACUAGGUGUGUGUGGUAUCGACCCCGCACGUGCCGCAGCUAACGCAAUAAGUGACCCGCCUGGGGAGUACGGCCGCAAGGUUG